GUGUGUGUGUGUGUGUGUGUGUGUGUAUUCAGCAGUCUGCUAGUGUGUAUUCAGCAGUCUGCUAAAUACACAUACAGACAGACUG